AUUGAACGCUGGCGGCAGGCUUAACACAUGCAAGUCGAGCGGUAACAGUCCUUCGGGAGCUGACGAGCGGCGGACGGGUGAGUAAUGCAUAGGAAUCUACCUAGUAGUGGGGGAUAACGUUCGGAAACGGGCGCUAAUACCGCAUAAUUCCCACGGGGGAAAGCAGGGGCUCUUAGGACCUUGCGCUAUUAGAUGAGCCUAUGUCGGAUUAGCUAGUUGGUAGGGUAAAAGCCUACCAAGGCGACGAUCCGUAGCUGGUUUGAGAGGAUGAUCAGCCACACUGGGACUGAGACACGGCCCAGACUCUUACGGGAGGCAGCAGUGGGGAAUAUUGGACAAUGGGCGCAAGCCUGAUCCAGCCAUGCCGCGUGUGUGAAGAAGGCCUUAGGGUUGUAAAGCACUUUCAUUGAGGAGGAAGGCCAUUUAGUUAAUACCUAAGUGGAUUGACGUUACUCAAAGAAGAAGGACCGGCUAACUCCGUGCCAGCAGCCGCGGUAAAG
rnacentral:rRNA from 1 species